GUCCCCUUAGCGCAGUGGAAGCGCGUUGGACUUCGAAUCCAGAGGUCGUCGGUUCGAUCCCGGCAGGGGAUG